rnacentral:rRNA from 1 species
AUGAAAGUCCUUCUGUAUCGGCUGAUUAAUUCUUGUCUUGCUUGCACAGAGUCAAUUGAUGGAGCCAUAGCCAGUCAGAUGAACAUCCUCGUCCUCACAACUCCGGGCGGUUGCUAUUUUGGCAGCGUGGACUCCGUGCAGAUGCGAUCGUCUUGCCUGCAAGAGGAGAGGACAUGUUUUCAUCUACAGUGGACUCACAGCCCAGUGCGCUUCCGCAGCACGGUUGAAAGGAUGGAAGAGCAGAGGGAGCAGUGCAUACUGGAAAGGAAUUCUGGAUUUUCCAAUUUGGCGACUAGGGAACCCUUUUUAAUAUUAUUAUCUUUAUAUUUUGCUGAGGUGUACUUGUACUACUCCCGUGAACUCUGA